GACCUGUAAGCUCAGUAGGUUUAGAGCGUGGUGCUAAUAACGCCAAGGCCGUGGGUUCAAUCCCCACACGGGCCA
rnacentral:tRNA from 1 species